rnacentral:rRNA from 1 species
AGAGUUUGAUCCUGGCUCAGGAUGAACGCUAGCGACAGGCUUAACACAUGCAAGUCGAGGGGCAGCGCGGUGGUGGCAACACCACCGGCGGCGACCGGCGCACGGGUGAGUAACACGUAUGCAACCUGCCCUCCACAGGGGGAUAAUCGGGAGACAUCCCGUCUAAUACCGCAUAACGCCAACCGGGGGCAUCCCCGGUUGGCCAAAGGAGCGAUCCGGUGGGGGCUGGGCAUGCGCCGCAUUAGCCAGUUGGCGGGGUAACGGCCCACCAAGGCGACGAUGCGUAGGGGUUCUGAGAGGAAGGUCCCCCACACUGGUACUGAGACACGGACCAGACUCCUACGGGAGGCAGCAGUGAGGAAUAUUGGUCAAUGGGCGGAAGCCUGAACCAGCCAAGUCGCGUGAGGGAAGACGGUCCUAUGGAUUGUAAACCUCUUUUGUCGGGGAGCAAGGGGCGCCACGAGUGGCGUCAAGCGAGAGUACCCGAAGAAAAAGCAUCGGCUAACUCCGUGCCAGCAGCCGCGGUAAUACGGAGGAUGCGAGCGUUAUCCGGAUUUAUUGGGUUUAAAGGGAGCGUAGAUGGAUGUUUAAGUCAGUUGUGAAAGUUUGCGGCUCAACCGUAAAAUUGCAGUUGAUACUGGAUAUCUUGAGUGCAGUUGAGGCAGGCGGAAUUCGUGGUGUAGCGGUGAAAUGCUUAGAUAUCACGAAGAACUCCGAUUGCGAAGGCAGCCUGCUAAGCUGCAACUGACAUUGAGGCUCGAAAGUGUGGGUAUCAAACAGGAUUAGAUACCCUGGUAGUCCACACGGUAAACGAUGAAUACUCGCUGUUUGCGAUAUACGGCAAGCGGCCAAGCGAAAGCGUUAAGUAUUCCACCUGGGGAGUACGCCGGCAACGGUGAAACUCAAAGGAAUUGACGGGGGCCCGCACAAGCGGAGGAACAUGUGGUUUAAUUCGAUGAUACGCGAGGAACCUUACCCGGGCUUAAAUUGCAGAUGAAUUACGGUGAAAGCCGUAAGCCGCAAGGCAUCUGUGAAGGUGCUGCAUGGUUGUCGUCAGCUCGUGUCGUGAGAUGUUUGGUUAAGUCCAGCAACGAGCGCAACCCCUGUUGCCAGUUACCAGCACGUGAAGGUGGGGACUCUGGCGAGACUGCCCAGAUCAACUGGGAGGAAGGUGGGGACGACGUCAGGUCAGUAUGGCCCUUAUGCCCAGGGCUGCACACGUACUACAAUGCCCAGUACAGAGGGGGCCGAAGCCGCGAGGCGGAGGAAAUCCUAAAAACUGGGCCCAGUUCGGACUGUAGGCUGCAACCCGCCUACACGAAGCCGGAAUCGCUAGUAAUCGCGCAUCAGCCACGGCGCGGUGAAUACGUUCCCGGGCCUUGUACACACCGCCCGUCAAG